rnacentral:misc_RNA from 1 species
ACUUCUUUUAAUUUAUUCAACUCAUUUCUUUUAGCAAUAAAUCUAUCUAUAGGCUAAAUUUUUCAAGAACAUGCUAUGUAGUUAAACUUUUUCAAAAGUUUAUUAAAAAUUAAAAUUAAUAAACUUUGGUGUAAAAGGCACGAAUAUUUAGCUAGUUAAUUAGUUUAUUGGGAUGAAAAAUUAAACAGUUGAGUUCAUUUAUAGAACACCAUAAUUACAAAGAAUUAAUUAAUUUAAAAGAAAGUUACGGGGUUCAUUUUUAUCUAUAUAGAG